rnacentral:misc_RNA from 1 species
AAGAAAUAUAUCGAAGAGUUAGUGCUGGGUUAGCCGAAAAUCAAAGUUUAUCCGAAGCUUGGUCUAAAAUUCCCGAAAAAUUAGCUUUUUAUGAUUACAUCGGCAAUAAUCCGGCAAAGGGUGGGUUGUUCAGAGCAGGCUCAAUGGACAACGGGGAUGGAAUAGCUGUUGGGUGGUUAGGACAUCCUAUCUUUAGAGAUAAAGAAGGGCGUGAACUUUUUGUACGUCGUAUGCCUACUUUUUUU